rnacentral:lncRNA from 1 species
GGAAAGAACAUCUGUCUUCUUCCAGGAGCAGAAAGUAUGAGAUGAAAAAAUAUAUAUGCAAAAAACACUCAAUACCUCUAUUUCUACAGGAGUGUUGACGGAGCUUCAGACGUGAAUGAAAUUUGUAUCCAUCUGUCUUGUUCCUGGAACCAAACUAGUUGGGGAUAGAAGAAAGUGGAUUUCCUAAUCCACUUCCAAGAAGCAUCUCUUCUUAAGACUUUCUAAUCGGAAGAAAGUUCAGUUCACAAUCAGCUUGCAUGAGUAAUAAUCCGUUGUUUUGCUACCACCCCUCUGAGACUGGAUCCAGGGCACACCGGACUUCCUCUUCCGAAUCGCUGGAAAACACAGCUUCUGCCCCAGCUGGGUCAACGUGCAUGCAGCUUGGGACAAUCAAGUCAAAUCAUCAAAAAUGAAAGAAAACUCUUCAAAAAACCAUUUAAAUAUGGCAGGACAAAAUUAUUGAUGUGAAAAGGAAGUCUUC